GUAGGUGGCAAGCGUUGUCCGGAAUUAUUGGGCGUAAAGCGCGCGCAGGCGGUUCUUUAAGUCUGAUGUGAAAGCCCACGGCUCAACCGUGGAGGGUCAUUGGAAACUGGAGAACUUGAGUACAGAAGAGGAAAGCGGAAUUCCACGUGUAGCGGUGAAAUGCGUAGAGAUGUGGAGGAACACCAGUGGCGAAGGCGGCUUUUCUGGUCUGUAACUGACGCUGAGGCGCGAAAGCGUGGGGAGCAAACAGGGAUUAGAUACCCUGGUAGUCCACGCCGUAAACGAUGAGUGCUAAGUGUAGGGGGUUUCCGCCCCCUUAGUGCUGCAGCUAACGCAUUAAGCACUCCGCCUGGGAGUACGCCGCAAGGCUG
rnacentral:rRNA from 1 species